AGAGGUAGCAUGCAGUAGGUGACCUGCGGAGGAUCAUUA
rnacentral:rRNA from 1 species